rnacentral:rRNA from 1 species
AGUGAAAUCCGUAGAUAUCAGGAGGAACACCGGUGGCGAAGGCGGCCACCUGGACAGGUAUUGACGCUGAGGUGCGAAAGUGUGGGGAGCAAACAGGAUUAGAUACCCUGGUAGUCCACACCGUAAACGAUGGAUACUAGGUGUCGGGGACUUGAUCUUCGGUGCCGUAGCUAACGCGUUAAGUAUCCCGCCUGGGGAGUACGGUCGCAAGGCUGAAACUCAAAGAAAUUGACGGGGGCCCGCACAAGCGGUGGAGUAUGUGGUUUAAUUCGAUGCAACGCGAAGAACCUUACCUAGGCUUGACAUCCUGGGAAUCCUGCAGAGAUGC